CCGCUCCAUAAUAAUUGCAACACUUUGACUAAAUAUUUUUGGUCAAAGUGUUAGCAAUUAAUAUGGAGCGGA
rnacentral:pre_miRNA from 1 species